AUUGAACGCUGGCGGCAGGCCUAACACAUGCAAGUCGAGCGGAGCGGCGGACGGGUGAGUCAUGCCUAGGAAUCUGCCUGGUAGUGGGGGAUAACGUCCGGAAACGGGCGCUAAUACCGCCUACUAUCCAAUGAUCCUAUGUCGGAUUAGCUAGUUGGUGGGGUAAAGGCCUACCAAGGCGACGCUCCGUAACUGGUCUGAGAGGAUGAUCAGUCACACUGUAACGGAGACACGGUCCAGACUCCUACGUGAGGCAGCAGUGGGGAAUAUUGGACAAGGGGCGAAAGCCUGAUCCAGCCAUGCCGCGUGUGUGAAGAAGGUAUUCGGAUGGGAAAGCACUUUAAGUUGGGAGGCGUUUCCAACAGAAUAAGCACCGGCUAACUUCGUGCCAGCAGCCGCGGUAAUAC
rnacentral:rRNA from 1 species